rnacentral:rRNA from 1 species
UACGUAGGGUGCGAGCGUUAAUCGGAAUUACUGGGCGUAAAGCGUGCGCAGGCGGUGAUGUAAGGCCGGGGUGAAAUCCCCGGGCUUAACCUGGGAACUGCAUUUGUGACUGCAUCGCUGGAGUGCGGCAGAGGGGGAUGGAAUUCCGCGUGUAGCAGUGAAUGCGUAGAUAUGCGGAGGAACACCGAUGGCGAAGGCAAUCCCCUGGGCCUGCACUGACGCUCAUGCACGAAAGCGUGGGGAGCAAACAGG